GCCGACGUAGCUCAGCAGGUAGAGCAGCUCAUUCGUAAUGAGCAGGUCAGCGGUUCGAGUCCGCUCGUCGGCU
rnacentral:tRNA from 1 species